rnacentral:lncRNA from 10 species
ACCCCUCCUCCCCCCACCGCGCGCACGCGCGCGCGCACACACACAAACACAAACACACACCCCAACACACACGCCCUGUCCCCUUUCUCCACCCUGCAAGCUAGUUGCAUUUAGCUCACAGAGCCUGGGCUGCGACUUGAAAGAGUUUAGGCAGCAACAGAGUGACCCUGGGGGUGCUCUUGACCGACAGCCGCACCCCCGGCGUCUAGGACCUCCGAGCAGGGAUGCAUCUGGAGGUCUAGGGAAGCACUUCCACCCCCUCCUCUCCUCAAUCCUGGCAGGAUGGUGAGUAGUUAACAUCCCCUCCCCAACCCCCGCUUGUCCAGGGUCCCCAGACUUCCAAGCAGAUUGAGGAGAGGAGCUCCGAGAGUCAACCCUCCAGCCUGUAAGGACCUUGAUAUCCAAAGGACAGCUGAAGAAAGUAAUGUGCCUGCAUUUUUGCCACUUCAUUCCCACAGUGCCCGAAAUGCCAGCUCCUCCUUGGUGUUCUCCUUUCAGGAUUUGAAUUCAAAUCCCAUUGGCAGCCCUGAUACCGCUGGGGGAAGGGUGAGGCUACUGCUGCUUCAAGACAGUGACGUUUCUCUCCGGUCAGCUGUCAGGAGCGCUGCUGGGUCUUACUGGGGAUCUGGCCAGCCUUGGGGGCCCUUGGAGCCCUGGCCCAGUGGAAGCUCGUGCCUGAGGAACAUGGAGGCCACGCUAAUGAGUUACUUCCAGAGUCUUCAAGAGUGCCAACUGGGACCAGGACCCCAGACCACAGCCCCCCACACCGUCCUGGACCUGGAUUCUGACUGUGGUUCCACUGUACCCCUCACCUUAAUCUCUGGUUCUAACCAGACCUGAGCCUAGACUUCCACUUUUUCCCUUACCCCUGUGAGGGCCUGGGAACACUAGGUGGGCAGGGUUUGAGCCCACAGGACCUGCACACAAACUUCCCCACCUCUUGGACUUGGGGACAGGAUCUGUGCCUCAACCCAGACCAGCUUUGUAGGGAUAUGUUCCAAGAACAGAGAAGAGUCUUAUGGGGAAGGGGGAGGAAGGGAAGUAUGAAUAUUUACCUCUGACCAAUAAUAGAGGUGCCCUGGUCCCCAAAGAAAUUGACUCCCGAAUUCCCUCCAAGCCUUACCCAUAUAGCUUUUGUUUGUUUGUUUGUUUUCAGACAAGGUCUUGUUCUGUCCAGUGCCGUGGCGUGACCACAGCUCAUGACAACUUUGAUUUCCCCGGCCCAAGCG